UUGGAUAUUUCAGUAAUUGACGGUUCUUACAUGCAAACCCUAAAAACUUCCUCCAUUUGGCAAUAUUUGUUCUGAUAUUUUCUGCAGUUUUUUGGUUCUUUAUAGAUCACAACGAAGUACCUCUACUGGUGUAAUACUUAUGUUAUCCUGCUCGUGAAGUCAAAAACAACAGACCAGAAAGACUCCCUUUUCCCCCAAAACACUGGUGACAUAUUCAGCUCAUCUUGACAUGGCAGGCCAGAGGAAUAACUUUGGGAAGAGAAUGCAAUCGGAAUCUGACUAUACUAGGAAUGACGGAAGUAAGAGAAGGAAUCCAACUGAUGAAAAAGAAUCAAAUUCCAUUGGUCCAGAGGAUACUGUUUUUCGUUAUUUGUGCCCCACAGGAAAAAUCGGAAGUAUCAUUGGAGUUGGUGGGGACAUUGCAAAACAAUUAAGGACUGAAACUAAUUCAAAGAUUAGGAUAAGCGAGACCAUUCCUGGCUGCGAGGAGCGUGUGGUAACUAUUUAUAGCGCAAGUGAAGAAACUAAUGUCUAUGAAGAUACUGGUGAUCUGAUUUCACCUGCUCAAGAUGCUCUAUUGAAGGUGCAUGACCGAGUCUUUGCUGAAGAACUGCGUAUGGAAGAAGACCUAGAGGAUCCUCAGCAGAUUACGAUAAGAAUGCUUGUCCCAUCAGAUCAAAUAGGUUGUGUGAUAGGGAAAGGUGGGCAAGUAAUCCAGAAUAUGCGCAGUGAAACAGGCGCACAAAUUCGGGUAUUAAGCAGUGAGCACUUGCCGCCUUGUGCCUUAAGCUCCGAUGAACUUAUCCAGAUAACUGGAGAAGGUGCAGUUGUUAAGAAAGCACUUUAUCAAGUAGCAGCGCGCCUCCGUGAUAAUCCAUCACGGUCCCAACAUCAAUUGCUGUCGUCGCCCAGCAUAUAUAGGUCUGGUGCUGGACUUGUUAAUCCUCAUGCGGGUCCCCAAGUCAUGGGCAUGACAUCAUUGAUGGGUCCUUAUGGGAGUUACAAAAGUGAUGGUAGAAGUCGAUCUGCUUCUGUAAAGGAGUUUGCAGUUCGUUUGGUUUGUCCAACUGAAAAUAUAGGAGCUGUAAUUGGCAAAGGUGGAAGCAUUAUCAAACAGCUAAGACAGGAAUCAGGUGCAUCUAUUAAAGUCGAUAGUGCUGCAGCUGAAGGAGAUGAUUGCAUUAUAUUUGUAUCAGCUAAGGAGGCAUAUGAAGAUCAAUCCCCAACCAUUGAUGCAAUAAUGCGCUUGCAACCAAGAAGUAGUGAGAAAACUGAAAAAGAUUCUGGUGAUGCUAUUCUGACGACUCGCCUGCUUGUACCUAGCUCACGAGUUGGAUGCCUAAUCGGUAAAGGUGGUUCCAUUGUCAAUGAGAUGCGAAAUACCACAAGGGCGAGCAUCCGCAUUCUUUCGAAGGAAAAUCUUCCUAAAGUGGCAUCUGAAGAUGACGAGAUGGUGCAGAUAACUGGAGAUGUUAAUGUUGCUGCCAAUGCGUUAUUACAAGUACUUAUGCGGUUGAGGGCCAAUAUAUUUGAGAUGGAGGGAAGUUUUGCUGCAUUUUCUCCUCCUGUUUCUUACCUCCCCUUGUCUCCAAGCAUGUCAGAUGGUUCAAGAUAUGCAAACCGUGAUAAUAAAUCACGUCGGCAUGGUUAUUCAUCAUAUUCUGGUGGACAUGAUUAUAAUGAUUCGUCUCCAAGUGAUAGUUAUGGCGGUUCACAGGUUGGUGGUGGAGGUGGUUAUGCACCAUAUGGCGUUUAUUCCUCUGGGCGAUCUAGUAGUGCAGGGGUUUCCAGCCAUAACUCUUCUGCCUAUGGUAAAUCCUACGGAUACUAGGUUGAGCACAUGGAGCUUUUUAAUUAUUGAACCAAAGUUCAAGAAAGUCAGGUUUCCGCAUUUCAGGAGGUAAAAUGGUAAAAGGUACUUUUUAUUCCUUUUCAGGUUGGUGAGUAGGCGUGAAUAUGCUUUCAGACAUGUAUGUGAUAAGUGAUCGAUAGAUAAUUUAGUUCUCAUGCUAAAUUCCUAUGAGGUAAGUAAUUUUCUCUUUUGCAAAUGCUAAUUUUUUCAUUGAUCUGGAAACUAGAGAGCAAGAACUCAACAUGAGACAGAUUUUAAGAUUUUGGUAGAAAACGUACACAUACAUGUCAAAUAUUUGAGGAGGAAAGAAGCCGGUGGUAUUGUGCUUAGCCAGUAAACAUCAUCCUUGUACUGGCAAGAGAGGCGUCUUAGCCCAUUAUGACAAAGGGAGAUUACUUUUGAUGGAAAAACAUGACAUCUUGAUUAGACCAGUAUUAGUUAUGAUAUGGAACCAUAUCACAUGUGCGCCCCCCAUUUUUUUUUCUGUUUUUCUUUCCCUUUUGGGGGCUUUAUAUGAAGCCCCAUAUCUGGGCUGUGGUGACUUUACAGUUGUGGGAUAACUGGGAUUCCAUGUCUAAGUUGUUUUUUUUAAUUAGCUAUUAUUUAUUCUUUGAGCAUGGAUUGUGUGUGGAGAAAAAUGGGGUUUGCUUUAUGAUAUACAGUAGAUUUAUUUGUUGCAUUCUUUUUGCUUCCCGGUGCUAAUUUAGAACUCUACACCAAACUUUCUAAGCUGAUCCAAUUUCUUUUCUUUUCUGGAAUUCAUGCUCCAUUAACAAGGUUAUUUUUAGUCUGCUGUUUGCAUGCCGUGUUAAAUUCUAUCUGGGACGCUCUGCCGGUAGGGCGGUGUGUGCAUUUUUGCCCAAAAGAUGUGAUGUUUCACCCUAUCUCAAAGUGGUCUAAAAGUUUGCUAGCACACAAGCAUGAAGCAAGUGAUUGUUAUGUGUUGUUGUACUAGUGACUGCACAUCUGAGGCUUAAGUUUCUUUAUGACUUUCAAUUGGAUUGCUGGUGUUUUCAUCUUCAGAAGUUUAAAAAUUCCACAAGUGCGAUGGAUUCUGUUGGCUUAAGGUGAGAAAGGAUGUUGUCGAUUUGUAUAAAGCAUAUAUACAAAUUGUUCUAAGAAAACUUGAAUUCAAAUUGGAAGGCAGGACAGGGUUCACCCAUUGAAUAGGCAACUUUUGUGGCCAUUUAAAGCAUUCUUCUAUUUGACUUGCUGCAGAGUAAAUACACAAACAUAUUAGUUACUAGGUAUUAAAUCAUUUAAAAGACAACAACAGGUCUCGUUCGACUAUUCCAGUGCACUGAAUGGUCGUCGUGUGUGCAAAUCAGUUUGGGCACCACUAACAUCUUUUCUAAAAAAGACGGGAGCGGUUCAGAAGCUCAAGAGUAUCAUUAAUCAAGACUUUGCUCGCCAAAAAAAUAGAGUUGCCAAAAGUUCAGUUCUAGAAAGGAAUUGUGUUUGCUGAAGUGGUGUUCAAUUGAAUUUUAUACUUCUUGGGGUUCAAGUGUUAUACCAUUUGUUUGAGGCAAGCAAGUUCGUGUUACAUUUUUUAUCA